rnacentral:rRNA from 1 species
CUUUCUCCGCCGGCGACCGGCGCACGGGUGAGUAACACGUAUGCAACCUGCCCCUGUCAGGGGGACAACCCGCCGAAAGGCGGGCUAAACCCGCGUACAUGCCACCGGGGCAUCCCGGAGGCAGGAAAGGCUUCGGCCGGACAGGGAUGGGCAUGCGGCGCAUUAGGCAGUAGGCGGGGUAACGGCCCACCUAACCGACGAUGCGUAGGGGUUCUGAGAGGAAGGUCCCCCACACUGGUACUGAGACACGGACCAGGCUCCUACGGGAGGCAGCAG